AUGAAUUCAGAUACAGAAAAGAACUUGCGCUGGAGGCUUAGUCGAGCAGAAGAACAACAUAAGAACGACCGAGAGGAGUGGUUAGAAUCAUGUGUUCGUAGCAACCUGCAAAUACAGAGUCUGAAAGAGCAGGUCUCCACACUGCAGCUUCAGUUGAAAUCUCCAACAAAGAGAGAGAUAGAACUAGAGGAAGAAUUAAGGUCCAAUAAGAAUGACGACAAAAUGUUGAAAGACACCUAUAAAAGGCAUAACUCAGUACUCUUAGAGGAGCUGGAGAAAUGUCAAGAAAGUCACAAGGAAAUGUUGAUGGAAAUGAAAAAGCAGUAUGAAAACCUUAAAGAAGAAAAAAUCUGCACAGAGGCAGACCUUCGUGGCAGGCUGGAGCAGCAAUGCAAAGCAUUCGAAGAGCAGGCACACCAACAUCAGUGCCAGGUCAAAUUAAAGGAUAGACAGUAUCAUGAGUUGGAGCAGGAGAAAAAGAAGGCCUUAAAGGAAGUCGUUGCAGAAAGAGAUGAAGCAAGACAAAUGAUAAAAACGCUGCAGUCACAAGAAAUAGAAACAAAAGAGGCCACUGCCUUUGACAAACGCAUUGCCCACCAGAAUUUUAUACAUAGGACAGAGAAAUUGCGUAAGGAGAUUGCAGAGCUUAAGAAUAAUGCCAAAAAAGCUCAGAAAAAGAUUUCUUCUUUAGAGGAAACCAUCAAAGACAAAAACAAGGCAAUAGCAAACAAACAUAAGGAGUACGCAAUUAUAGGGAAGGAAAAGACUGAUAUAAGGAAGCUUUUGUCUAGAGAAGAGGAACGCAAUGCCCUACUGAAGAUUCAAUUAGGUGAUGCGACCAACAGCAACAAGCUUCUAAAUGGUAAGUUCCUAAAGGCAAAUUCUGAACGCAUUGAAGCACUGGAAGCACUGCGAGAGGCUGAUUUGAAAGAACAGAGACAACAGAAAAUAAUAACUAUCCUUAAAAAUAAAAUUGAGGGUAUUGGCCCAGGAUUCAAGGAAUUGAAGGACAGAGUCCAUCAAUUGGAAACCUUUCAGAAAAGAUUUCUUGAGGACCUUCAGACAUGCAUGCCUCUGGUCUUCGACCACAAGAAAUUAAAAAGCAGAGUCAUUGCCCUCAAAGAACUUUACGUAGACAAGAAGCAACAGGACCUGAUGGAUUACCACACUGAGGUGGGGUAUACUGACAAAAUUGCCAACCUCGAGAGAAGGCUCAGUCAUUGUGCAAAGAUACAUGGCACAGUGAAGAAUAUGCAAUUGGAACAUGAGAGAGCUAAUGCCGAAUUUUGUCAGGACAAAAGCUUCUACAUCGACACUUUGAAUGCUAAGAGAAAAGAGAUGACACAGAUAAAAGAAGAGCUGAGAGAAACCAAGGAACAGCUCACAGAGGCAACAAAACCACUACGGCAGAGGGCCAGCUCUUGGUUAAGGAAAAAAAUCCUCCGAAGUCCCAGAGCUUCCCCAGAUGUCGCAGAGGAAGCAUCAGAUGACAGUCAGGCACCCAGCCUUCCAGAAGACGCAAUCCUAUCAUCACCAUCACCAUCAUCCAGCGAGCCACAUCGUUGUACAGAUGAUGACACAGUCAUACUUGACAACCUCUUCAUGCCAUGUCUCAGUGUGGUAAUGUUUGAGCCAAGUCGGAGCAGUACUAUGCCAAGACCUCUGUAG
ensembl:lncRNA